rnacentral:lncRNA from 1 species
GAAAACCGGAAGCAAAACGACAGACCGUCAGGAUUCAGGAAGCAACAAACAUCAACAACUUUUGAAGGAGACUACAAAAGCUUUGAACACGAGAAAAGGUACAGGUACUCUACAAAAGCAAUGUUGAGCUUCAGGUUUGGUGCGAUGCAUCAACUAGCAGAAGCCAAAACCUUGUCAUCCUCAUUAGCACCCCCAGACUGCACAAGACAUGUUGCAGAUGAGCAAGCAUUUAUAUAUGCCUCACAUAUGUGAUAGCUGACAUACUACCAAAAGGUUCUUUAGUUAGUACCUUCAUCAGAUAAUGAAAUAUGAUUAGCAGCCCUGUAAGCAAUUAAAUUAUGGUCCUGUGGUUAAAUUCUGGAUGCAAGGAACAUAAUUACAAGAGUCUGGAAGGAAUUGCCCCACCAAGGAUCUACUGGAGGUGCCUCAAAUCUGAUCUAGGCCUACUUGUUAAUAGGGUCAAAGACAAGCUAAGACCCUACCUUGUUAAUUUUAUACAGCCUUGAGCUUUGUGUUUUCGGUGGUUGUACUGGGGUCUUAAGCCCCACACAUGCAUACAUUUUAUUUAUGGAAUAUUUAUGUCAACUACUAAAUGCAUACGUGCAGCGCAUGUUGAUAUUAGCCGCUAUAUAUAUAUAUAUAUAUAUAUAUAUAGUUCUAUGGCAAGCUAUGAUAGAAUGUAAUAUAAUAUAGGUACAUAUAUAUAUAUAUAAUGUAAUAUAAUAUACUACUAAUCGUGUAUGUGCACGCACAUCUAGUUUGGCAGUAAUACUAUUUCCAAAAUUAACCAUAAUUAAUGUUGAUUUCAAUAUUAAUUGUGUUUAAUGCAAUUAAUGUCUUUUCCAAAUUAUUGAUGAUGUGAUAGAUACAUCAUUGGAGCAGCGUGAGACGUUGGAUAUAGGUGGUUGGAUGGCUCAGAUUAUUUGGAUUCACCAAACUCAUGCUUUUAUUAGUACAAGUAGAUUUAUUUAUGACAAUGCCACUAGGAAUGCCAUUCACCAAACUCAUUUCUCUUUCUUUCUUGCCAUGCAGUGAUGCUACCGGCUGGUCAAAACAGCCUGGGUUGAGAUGAAAAUAGGUAAAAAGCCUUAAAUACCGUUUGUUAGCUGUCUACAAAGAGCAAAAGGGCAGGGAGGAAUUGGUAUUACCUGACUCUAAAACAGAGGGUACAGAAAAGAUAGCUAGCUACCAGGAGAAGAUUUUCGUGCUUGAAUCUGACGCAGAAUUGUUAUAAAUUUAUGCAUUACAACCCUGGAGCUAAUGUAGUCAGUUCAUACAGCAAUACUGUAAAAUUCUUGAGCCAUAAUGUACUGAGAUUCUGAGGUUUGCUACAACUGGAGUAUCUACAAUGCACAGUUUAGUAAGCAUAAUAACAAGGUUUUAUGAAUCCAUAGUCCAUCAGGUUUAAUGCAAUUAUGCUAUAUAUAUAGAAUCCAUAAGCUAACACAAGCAGGAUACAAUACACCCAUCAGCAUCUAGGCAUACUUCAGGCCAUGAGCAAGGAUUGUAUAUUUAGUGGGAACCUCCAAGACGAGCCUAGGCCCCUCACUUGACCUGGUUCCACGCGCGCAGCCAGCCAUUGUCCCCACUCACGCACCCACGUCACCGUCUGGUUCCAUUCCCAGAGCCAGCCGUCAGUCAUGCUCAAUUACACAUGCCACGUCCGUACCAAGGAAGCUUGUGCUGCAGCCUCGCCUGACUCACUGAACUUGGCAAGGGAUUUUGGAGAAGGGGAUUCAAUCGGGAGGUGAGUAGAGCACACAAUUGAGAGGGCUGUGUGGUGGGGGCAUGUGCUCCAGUGACUAGUACAAGCUGGGUCAAUAUGAGUUAAUGAGGUAGUUUCCGAACCAAUAUAGUCCAGGCUGGUCAAUACAUCAGCAUAGCAAAAACGGAAGACAUAAUAUAGACAGACCUGUUUGUCCUGCCUUUACUUAUUGUGUUGGAACCUGUUUGGUUAAGAUUGUUAGUUUGGCUCUCG